AAGAAGUCAGGAAUAUAAGUUUAGCUUCUAACUAAAACUUAAAGCGGUUAAACUCCGUUUACUUCUUA
rnacentral:tRNA from 1 species